rnacentral:rRNA from 1 species
AGUCGAGGGGCAGCGGGGAGGUAGCAAUACCUUUGCCGGCGACCGGCGCACGGGUGAGUAACACGUAUGCAAUCCACCUGUAACAGGGGGAUAACCCGGAGAAAUCCGGACUAAUACCCCAUAAUAUGGGCGCUCCGCAUGGAGAGUCCAUUAAAGAGAGCAAUUUUGGUUACAGACGAGCAUGCGCUCCAUUAGCCAGUUGGCGGGGUAACGGCCCACCAAAGCGACGAUGGAUAGGGGUUCUGAGAGGAAGGUCCCCCACAUUGGAACUGAGACACGGUCCAAACUCCUACGGGAGGCAGCAGUGAGGAAUAUUGGUCAAUGGUCGGCAGACUGAACCAGCCAAGUCGCGUGAGGGAAGACGGCCCUACGGGUUGUAAACCUCUUUUGUCGGAGAGUAAAGUACGCUACGUGUAGCGUAUUGCAAGUAUCCGAAGAAAAAGCAUCGGCUAACUCCGUGCCAGCAGCCGCGGUAAUACGGAGGAUGCGAGCGUUAUCCGGAUUUAUUGGGUUUAAAGGGUGCGUAGGCGGCACGCCAAGUCAGCGGUGAAAUUUCCGGGCUCAACCCGGACUGUGCCGUUGAAACUGGCGAGCUAGAGUGCACAAGAGGCAGGCGGAAUGCGUGGUGUGGCGGUGAAAUGCAUAGAUAUCACGCAGAACCCCGAUUGCGAAGGCAGCCUGCUAGGGUGCGACAGACGCUGAGGCACGAAAGCGUGGGUAUCGAACAGGAUUAGAUACCCUGGUAGUCCACGCAGUAAACGAUGAAUACUAACUGUUUGCGAUACAAUGUAAGCG